rnacentral:lncRNA from 1 species
GGAACCAGUUUUGUUUGUUUUACUGUCCUCUGAGAUGCGAGAGGCCACGAUGAUGGGCGACCAGCACCUUUCUGCAGCUGUGGGAACACAUGAGGAGACCACUGCUUUCAAUACAUGAGAGCCAUACAAGGGAAGGGCGUGUGUUCCUGAGGGUGCUGGUGGACUGUCCAGCAGUGUAAUAAGAAGCAUCACACCUGGAAUUCUGCAGCAGGGGAUGCUUUACAAGACAGUUGGCAUCCUUGUCCAUGA